rnacentral:rRNA from 1 species
AUUGAACGCUGGCGGCAUGCUUUACACAUGCAAGUCGAACGGCAGCGCGGGCUUCGGCCUGGCGGCGAGUGGCGAACGGGUGAGUAAUGCAUCGGAACGUGCCCAGUAGCGGGGGAUAGCCCGGCGAAAGCCGGAUUAAUACCGCAUACGACCUGAGGGUGAAAGCGGGGGACCGAAAGGCCUCGCGCUAUUGGAGCGGCCGAUGUCGGAUUAGCUAGUUGGUGGGGUAAAGGCUUACCAAGGCGACGAUCCGUAGCUGGUCUGAGAGGACGACCAGCCACACUGGGACUGAGACACGGCCCAGACUCCUACGGGAGGCAGCAGUGGGGAAUUUUGGACAAAGGGGGCAACCCUGAUCCAGCGAUGCCGCGUGCGGGAAGAAGGCCUUCGGGUUGUAAACCGCUUUUGUUCGGGAAGAAAUCCUCUGGGCUAAUACCCCGGGGGGAUGACGGUACCGGAAGAAUAAGCACCGGCUAACUACGUG